ACGUCAUGCACAAACAAAUAACAGCAGAAAUGGGCUCGUUGCCAUCGAAGUUCUCUCUACAACGGUCUCACCCGUCCGUCUAGGUCAGCAACAUAAAAUUCGAAACUGGAUUAGCAUUCUGAAUUCUGAGAAAUGUGCAAAGAUGUGCCAGCAGCAAGACAAGGGAAUUUGCCCCUCCUAGCUACAUUUAACUGGUUACAUAGAAGAUUUCCGUUACUCUUUCAAGGCAGCUGACAUUGCAGGGUCUCAUAUAAAAAGUACGAGGAUGACAACUAUUCCACACGUGCGCGGUCAGGUGGAAAGCGUUUUCUACAGUGCAUGCGUCGUGUAUGUAGCACAUGUUUAUAUAACUACGGUAUAUAACACAUGCUGCCUCCGUGAGUGGCUCCCCUACAGUGAGUGCAAGACGACACUGCACGGCAUGUAUCGAUCAAUCGAGAUUAUUUUCGUCAUUCGUAAUCAUCUUUGACCUUUGACCGCCGACUUGACCUUGAAUUUGACCCAUUUGUGAAAAUUAUGUGCAGAAAUAGACACCCUGUCAUGGAAAAUCUAUUAAAAAUGGUGUCAAACGACCUUCUAUUCCACCGAUAGAAGAAAAAACGUUGAGGCUGGACAAAAAUUCAAGAUGGCGGUGGCCACCGUCUUGAAUUCUGCGAUAUGCUCAGAUUCCCAAGUGGUUACUAAGCUAAUUUGGAUCUCCAAGCUGCUGGAAGCAUAUUUCCGUGAAAAAGUCCGCGGUAGUCCACGUUGCAGGGUGUCAUCAAGGAAGCAUCAAAAUGGCAACUCGUCUAUAAACACCAUUCAACAUCCUAAUUCAACGAGGUGACUAACGCAAGGCUUUAUCACAAUCGGUCGGUACGUUCCAUGUACUUUCAUUCUGAAUACGUUGCAUGGGCCAUGUCGGCAUUGUCCUCUACGCCCUUCCCUGCGUGACUAAGCAGUAAUGGCGCGUUCGUAAACAAAGGUUAUGGUUGAUGAUAUCACCUUGUUCUUGCAAAUGUCGCCGGACAUGACAGGCUUGUUUGUUGACCUUUGGAGGGGACGGGAUGAUUGACGUCCCCUCCGCUUCCUGGUCCGUUUUUGCCAGUAUAAAAAGCGACCAAAGGAAACAUGGGCAUAUCCUGUUGAGUCGUCUUUCACCAACAAUGCGUCUGCUGCCAUUGAUUGUCGUGCUUUGUCUGGUGUUGGUGACCACUGAAGGUGGAAAGUGCUACAGAUUCGGCCAGGCGUGCGGAAAAUGGAAAACAAAAGUCUGCCGCUGGUGCUGGAAACCUCACAAGCAUCUCUGCUGUGUUUGAGGCGACACCUUCAAGGAAUGCAGAAGAAAAUGUCGCUUCCCCCGUCGAUGCAGCACAUUGAGAGGUACGCUGUAGCAAAGGAUGG